CAGUCGCCGCGGUAAUACAGAGGAUGCAAGCGUUAUCCGGAAUGAUUGGGCGUAAAGCGUCUGUAGGUGGCUUUUCAAGUCCGCCGUCAAAUCCCAGGGCUCAACCCUGGACAGGCGGUGGAAACUACCAAGCUAGAGUACGGUAGGGGCAGAGGGAAUUUCCGGUGGAGCGGUGAAAUGCGUUGAGAUCGAAAAGAACACCAACGACGAAAGCACUCUGCUGGGUCGACACUGACACUGAGAGACGAAAGCUAGGGGAGCAAAUGGGAUUAGAUACCCCGGUAGUCCCUGUCUCUUAUAC
rnacentral:rRNA from 1 species